rnacentral:lncRNA from 1 species
ACAAUUCAUUUUCUGAUUUGAUUCCUUAUUUGUUUUCACUAUGUCACAGAUGUUCUUUUUAAGGAUACUCUCUCAGACUACCUCAGUUGUAGCUAUCCUGGCACAGAACAGUAAAACUUAGUGUUAGUGGAUCAAAUCCUCAGAGAGAAGUUGAAGAAAUUUGCUAAUGUGCUAGUCCCUGAGCCAUGACUCUUCCUUUCUUUGUCUCACCUUCAAAUUCAUCUUGUUUUUCCUUUCUUCUUUCUUUCUGACAUAAAGAGUACCAAAACACUGUAAGAAACCUACACUGAACACUUCUUGUAUUACCUCUCCAUACUGCUGUGAUUGAGAUGGGUUUUUUGGUGAGGAGGGAGCUCCAGGAAUUCAUUAAAGAUAUGACUGUGUUUUCAUGCCCCAAAAUACUUCUUUACUAUUUUAAGGUGAGCAGAUAUGCUAAAGCACUAAAAAUAAAUAUUUAAAA